rnacentral:rRNA from 1 species
GCAAGUCGAACGGUAACAGGAUGUGCUUGCACAUCGCUGACGAGUGGCGGACGGGUGAGUAAUGCUUGGGAACUUGCCUUUGCGAGGGGGAUAACAGUUGGAAACGACUGCUAAUACCGCAUGAUGUCUACGGACCAAAGAGGGCUUUUAGCUCUCGCGCAAAGAGAGGCCCAAGUGAGAUUAGCUAGUUGGUGAGGUAAAGGCUCACCAAGGCGACGAUCUCUAGCUGUUCUGAGAGGAAGAUC